GUCACUAUGUGUAACUGGCGUAACAUGGAAUACCAUGAGGGAGCACAUAGAUAACAGCCGUACGCCUGGGCAGAGGUA
rnacentral:ncRNA from 2 species